rnacentral:rRNA from 1 species
GGGGAUCUGCCCGAUAGAGGGGGAUAACCACUGGAAACGGUGGCUAAUACCGCAUAACGUCGCAAGACCAAAGAGGGGGACCUUCGGGCCUCUCACUAUCGGAUGAACCCAGAUGGGAUUAGCUAGUAGGCGGGGUAACGGCCCACCUAGGCGACGAUCCCUAGCUGGUCUGAGAGGAUGACCAGCCACACUGGAACUGAGACACGGUCCAGACUCCUACGGGAGGCAGCAGUGGGGAAUAUUGCACAAUGGGCGCAAGCCUGAUGCAGCCAUGCCGCGUGUAUGAAGAAGGCCUUCGGGUUGUAAAGUACUUUCAGCGGGGAGGAAGGCGAUGUGGUUAAUAACCGCAUUGAUUGACGUUACCCGCAGAAGAAGCACCGGCUAACUCCGUGCCAGCAGCCGCGGUAAUACGGAGGGUGCAAGCGUUAAUCGGAAUUACUGGGCGUAAAGCGCACGCAGGCGGUCUGUUAAGUCAGAUGUGAAAUCCCCGGGCUUAACCUAGGAACUGCAUUUGAAACUGGCAGGCUUGAGUCUCGUAGAGGGGGGUAGAAUUCCAGGU